rnacentral:rRNA from 1 species
GACGAACGCUGGCGGCGUGCUUAACACAUGCAAGUCGAACGAAGUGGCGAACGGGUGAGUAACGCGUAAUCAACCUGCCCUUCAGAGGGGGACAACAGUUGGAAACGAAUGCUAAUACCGCAUACUGAAGGAGGGGAUUGCGUCUGAUUAGCUAGUUGGAGGGGUAACGGCCCACCAAGGCGAGGAUCAGUAGCCGGUCUUAGAGGAUGAUCGUCCACAUUGGGACUGAGACACGGCCCAGACUCCUACGGGAGGCAGCAGUGGGGAAUAUUGCACAAUGGGCGCAAGCCUGAUGCAGCCAUGCCGCGUGUAUGAAGAAGGCCUUCGGGUUGUAAAGUUCUUUCAGCGAGGAACGUUACUCACCGAAGAAGCACCGGCUAACUCCGUGCCAGCCGCCGCGGUAAUUC